AUUCCAGCUCCAAUAGCGUAUAUUUAAGUUGUUGCAGUUAAAAAGCUCGUAGUUGGAUUUCGGAUGUGUUGACGCGGUCUGCCUCUGGUAUGUACUGCGUUCGAUGCAUCUUUCUGCUGGGGACGAGCUCCUGGGCUUAAUUGUCUGGGACUCGGAAUCAGCGAAGUGACCUUGAGCAAACAAGAGUGUUCAAAGCAAGCCUACGCUCUGAAUUUUUUAGCAUGGAAUCACACGAUAGGACUCUGGCCUAUCUUGUUGGUCUGUAGGACCGGAGUAAUGAUUAAGAGGGACAGUCGGGGGCAUUCGUAUUUCAUUGUCAGAGGUGAAAUUCUUGGAUUUAUGAAAGACGAACUUCUGCGAAAGCAUUUGCCAAGGAUGUUUUCAUUGAUCAAGAACGAAAGUUGGGGGCUCGAAGACGAUUAGAUACCGUCGUAGUCUCAACCAUAAACGAUGCCGACUAGGGAUUGGCAGGUGUUCCAUUGAUGACCCUGCCAGCACCUUAUGAGAAAUCAAAGUUUUUGGGUUCCGGGGGGAGUAUGGUCGCAAGGCUGAAACUUAAAGGAAUUGACGGAAGGGCACCACCAGGCGUGGAGCCUGCGGCUUAAUUUGACUCAACACGGGGAAACUUACCAGGUCCAGACACGGGGAGGAUUGACAGAUUGAGAGCUCUUUCUUGAUUCUGUGGGUGGUGGUGCAUGGCCGUUCUUAGUUGGUGGGUUGCCUUGUCAGGUUGAUUCCGGUAACGAACGAGACCUCAGCCUGCUAAAUAGUAACACAUACCUUGGUAUGUGCUUUACUUCUUAGAGGGACUAUUGGCGUUUAGUCAAUGGAAGUGUGAGGCAAUAA
rnacentral:rRNA from 1 species